GUCCUCGGCUUCUGUUUUUUUCUCCAAUCUUAGAGAAUAGUUUCACUAGGGUGAUUUCAGGCGCCAUUUCCUCUUCUCACCACUACUCACUCCUUCUAAAGAGAAACCCAAACAAAAAUGGCGUCUUCCUCUUCCAAAACCCUAAAGGAUCUAUUCAAGCAACCUGCAGCAAAGCGGCUAAAACGGGUCUCCUCGCCAUCUUCUGCUGACAACUUCAUUUCCAGCGCCUUCUCAUCUUCAUUGUCGGAUGAAGACGGCGACAACAAAGACCCCAAAGAUACAAUGCUCACGUCCGAGCAAAAGUCGAGAAUGGAGUUCAAUAAAUCGCUUGCAAAGGCCAAAAUGAACCUCAAACUAUGCUCUGAUAAAAUCUCCAAGUUAAACGCAAAUGGUGAUGUCGUAGGAUAUGUGAAGUUAGAGGAACUGUUGGUUGAGGAGACAUGGUUGGAAGCACUGCCAGGGGAAUUUCAGAAGCCCUAUGCAAAGAACUUGUGUAGAUUUGUUGAAAAGGAAUUUAGUGGUGGUGUCCCAAUUUACCCCCCACAGCAUCUGAUUUUUAAUGCUCUUAAUACUACUUCAUUUGACAGGGUAAAGGCUGUCAUCAUUGGACAGGAUCCGUAUCAUGGGCCAGGUCAGGCAAUGGGCCUCUCUUUCUCGGUGCCUAGAGGUGUGAAAGUCCCUUCGAGUCUGGUGAACAUAUAUAAAGAACUUAAGCAAGAUUUGGGUUGUUCAAUACCACUCCAUGGAAAUCUGGAACAAUGGGCUUUACAGGGUGUUCUGCUUCUUAAUGCUGUUCUUACAGUUAGGCAUCACCAGGCAAAUUCUCAUGCAAAUAAAGGCUGGGAGCAAUUUACAGAUGCUGUCAUCAAAAUAAUUUCUCAGAAGAAAGAAGGAGUUGUUUUCAUUCUGUGGGGAAACUAUGCCCAAGCAAAAGCCAGGUUAGUUGAUGAAACAAGGCACCAUGUUCUCAAAUCAGCACACCCUUCUGGUUUGUCUGCAAACAGAGGCUUCUUUGGAUGUCGGCAUUUUUCACAGACAAACCAACUUUUGGAGAAGAUGGGAAUACCUCGCAUUGAAUGGCAACUAUAAGCUGCUAUGCAACCAUCAUUUUCGGAAUGCUACUGGGCCACUAAGAAGGAUUCUUCUAGGAUGUAUCUAAUAACACGGGGAAUGAUUGUUGAAGGUAGGGUUGCUUCCAUUUUUGUGAAGGUUGAUCCUUAAGUUGAACAAAUUAUGCUUUAUUGAUUAUGCUCCGUGUGGUUUAACACUGAUCUGCACGAGUCAUUUUCAACAUAAGUUCAACACUGAGAUCAAGGAAAAUAGAGUGAAUGUUCAGAAUCUUGUUCUUAGAUAUAGUGAUGAAAUCUUUUUGAGGUUUCUGGACUUGAAUUGAUGAAAGUUUUCAAAGGUUUCUUUCUAUUGUAUCUGCUGCCUUAUUAGGCUACUAAAACU